ensembl:lncRNA
GUUUGCGUGCACAGCUGUGGGUGACUCAGAGACCAGCUUCUCCCAGCGCCCUGCCUGCCAGUGCAGCCUCCCAGUGGUGAGACUCGCCUCGGAGGUUCCCACUCUGGCUCCACACCUGUCCCACCCCUGAGACUCACAGGAGGCUGGCUCUAUCCCAGGAAACCUCACAGAGCAGAGGCAUUCAUGUCACAGAUACUUGUUAAGUGAACCUGAUGCGAGUCUGAGUUUCGGUGAUGUGAAUUGAACCCUCGGGGUCAACUCCUGGCAGGGCAACCUCAACCCUGUUACAGCAUGAAGGCCUUUUGUCUCUGUGAUGGGCCUCAGAGGGCACGAGGCUUCCUGGGUUGACUUGCUGCUGGAGGACUUUUCUGAGCAUCUUGGCUCAUCCUGUGUGGGUUCUGAGCCUGGGCUGCCUGCAUUUGAAUCCUUGACACUUCCCAGCAACCACUUAGGCCUCUCUAUAAAGCUGGGAUACUGACAGCAUCUACCUCGCAGGGCUGCAUGAGGAUGAAGCGAGACCGUGUGUGAAGAGUUUGGAGGCUUGCCUUGAAGGUGCUAUGUAAGAGUUAGCUAAAUAUUAUGACAUUAGGUUGAACCACAUAAAAU